rnacentral:rRNA from 1 species
GUUGAUAAGGUUAAGUGAAUAAGGGCGCACGGUGGAUGCCUUGGCACUAGGAGCCGAUGAAGGACGGGACUAACACCGAUAUGCUUUGGGGAGCUGUAAGUAAGCUAUGAUCCAGAGAUUUCCGAAUGGGGGAACCCAAUAUCUUUUAUAGGAUAUUACUUUUCAGUGAAUACAUAGCUGAUUAGAGGUAGACGCAGAGAACUGAAACAUCUUAGUACCUGCAGGAAGAGAAAGAAAAUUCGAUUCCCUGAGUAGCGGCGAGCGAAACGGGAAGAGCCCAAACCAACAAGCUUGCUUGUUGGGGUUGUAGGACUCCGAUAUGGUAGUCUGUUAGUAUAGUUGAAGGAUUUGGAAAAUUCCGCUAAAGAGGGUGAAAGCCCCGUAGACGAAAUGCUGACAACACCUAGGAGGAUCCUGAGUACGGCGGAACACGAGAAAUUCCGUCGGAAUCCGCGGGGACCAUCCCGCAAGGCUAAAUACUCCCUAGUGACCGAUAGUGAACCAGUACCGUGAGGGAAAGGUGAAAAGCACCCCGGAAGGGGAGUGAAAUAGAUCCUGAAACCGUGUGCCUACAACAAGUCAAAGCUCGUUAAUGAGUGAUGGCGUGCCUUUUGUAGAAUGAACCGGCGAGUUACGAUUGCAUGCGAGGUUAAGUCGAAGAGACGGAGCCGCAGCGAAAGCGAGUCUGAAUAGGGCGAAUGAGUAUGUAGUCGUAGACCCGAAACCAUGUGAUCUACCCAUGUCCAGGUUGAAGGUGCGGUAAAACGCACUGGAGGACCGAACCCACGUACGUUGAAAAGUGCGGGGAUGAGGUGUGGGUAGCGGAGAAAUUCCAAACGAACUUGGAGAUAGCUGGUUCUCUCCGAAAUAGCUUUAGGGCUAGCCUCGGAAUUGAGAAUGAUGGAGGUAGAGCACUGUUUGGACUAGGGGCCCAUCUCGGGUUACCGAAUUCAGAUAAACUCCGAAUGCCAUUCAUUUAUAUCCGGGAGUCAGACUGCGAGUGAUAAGAUCCGUAGUCGAAAGGGAAACAGCCCAGACCACCAGCUAAGGUCCCAAAAUAUAUGUUAAGUGGAAAAGGAUGUGGGGUUGCACAGACAACUAGGAUGUUGGCUUAGAAGCAGCCACCAUUUAAAGAGUGCGUAAUAGCUCACUAGUCGAGUGACCCUGCGCCGAAAAUGUACCGGGGCUAAACAUAUUACCGAAGCUGUGGACUACACCAUUAGGUGUAGUGGUAGGAGAGCGUUCUAAGGGCGUUGAAGGUCGAUCGUGAGGACGGCUGGAGCGCUUAGAAGUGAGAAUGCCGGUAUGAGUAGCGAAAGACAGGUGAGAAUCCUGUCCACCGUAUGACUAAGGUUUCCUGGGGAAGGCUCGUCCGCCCAGGGUUAGUCGGGACCUAAGCCG